CUAAGAAUAUUCCGCAAUGGACGGAAGUCUGACGGAGCGACGCCGCGUGGAUGACGAAGGCCGAAAGGUUGUAAAGUUCUUUUGCUGGGGAAGAAUAACCGCAGGAGGGAAUGCCUGUGGGAUGACAAGAACCGGCGAAUAAGCCCCGGCCAACUACGUGCCAGCAGCCGCGGUAACACGUAGGGGGCGAGCGUUGUUCGGAAUUACUGGGCGUAAAGGGCAUGUAGGCGGCUUGGAAAGCCUGGCGUGAAAGUCUGCAGCUUAACUGCAGGGGUGCGCUGGGAACUGCUGAGCUUGAGUGACGGAGAGGGAGCUGGAAUUCCUGGUGUAGGGGUGAAAUCUGUAGAUAUCAGGAAGAACACCGAUGGCGAAGGCAAGCUCCUGGCCGAUGACUGACGCUGAGGUGCGAAAGUGUGGGGAUCAAACAGGAUUAGAUACCCUGGUAGUCCACACAGUCAACGAUGUGCACUAGGUGCUGGGGCGGUAGCUUCCGGUGCCGGAGCGAACGUGGUAAGUGCACCGCCUGGGGAGUAUGCUCGCAAGGGUGAAACUCAAGGAA
rnacentral:rRNA from 1 species